UAGGGAAUAUUGGACAAUGGGGGCAACCCUGAUUCAGCCAUGCCGCGUGAGUGAAGAAGGCCCUCGGGUUGUAAAGCUCUUUUGUCCGGAAAGAAAAGCAUUCGGUGAAUACCCGGAUGUUCUGACGGCACCGGAAGAAUAAGCACCGGCUAACUUCGUGCCAGCAGCCGCGGUAAUACGAAGGGUGCAAGCGUUACUCGGAAUUACUGGGCGUAAAGCGUGCGUAGGUGGUUGUUUAAGUCUGAUGUGAAAGCCCUGGGCUCAAACUGGGAAUGGCAUUGGAAACUGGGCAGCUAGAGUGCGGUAGAGGGUAGUGGAACUCCCGGUGUAGCAGUGAAAUGCGUAGAGAUCGGGAGGAACAUCUGUGGCGAAGGCGACUGCCUGGACCAGCACUGACACUGAGGCACGAAAGCGUGGG
rnacentral:rRNA from 1 species